rnacentral:rRNA from 1 species
AUGCAAGUCGAACGAAGGCUUCGGCCUUAGUGGCGCACGGGUGCGUAACGCGUGGGAAUCUGCCCUCAGGUUCGGAAUAACAGCGAGAAAUUGCUGCUAAUACCGGAUGAUAUCGCGAGAUCAAAGAUUUAUCGCCUGAGGAUGAGCCCGCGUAGGAUUAGCUAGUUGGUGUGGUAAAGGCGCACCAAGGCGACGAUCCUUAGCUGGUCUGAGAGGAUGAUCAGCCACACUGGGACUGAGACACGGCCCAGACUCCUACGGGAGGCAGCAGUGGGGAAUAUUGGACAAUGGGCGAAAGCCUGAUCCAGCAAUGCCGCGUGAGUGAUGAAGGCCUUAGGGUUGUAAAGCUCUUUUACCCGGGAUGAUAAUGACAGUACCGGGAGAAUAAGCUCCGGCUAACUCCGUGCCAGCAGCCGCGGUAAUACGGAGGGAGCUAGCGUUAUUCGGAAUUACUGGGCGUAAAGCGCACGUAGGCGGCUUUGUAAGUUAGAGGUGAAAGCCUGGAGCUCAACUCCAGAAUUGCCUUUAAGACUGCAUCGCUUGAAUCCAGGAGAGGUGAGUGGAAUUCCGAGUGUAGAGGUGAAAUUCGUAGAUAUUCGGAAGAACACCAGUGGCGAAGGCGGCUCACUGGA